AAUUAAGUCGUGAGUAGCAGUUCCUCCUCAUUGCUUUUUCUACCUACUGAGGAAUGAAGCUGUCAGCCAGGCUAGGCAAGAAUUCAUCAGAUAUUCUGCAUGAGACUUCCAGCAGAUCUCCUGCUCAUUGACAUCCCUCAUCACCUGUGGAUCUUGCCUCUCUGCCAAUUUCUGCAGUUUUGAGAAAAGAGCUUAGGUAGGUAUCUAUGUACCAAUUGCACGAGUCUGCCUCAUACCUUCUGUAAGUAUGAAACUUUCUAGAAGAUUCUCCAUUCUAAACACCACCCUUCAAACAUGGCUAAGACUUCACUAGAUGGUUAUUAUUUUUUAAAUCAACUGUUAUUGAGGCUGUUGGGUUAUUUUUUCAUGUGAAGCUGCUUUGAAAAAAGAUCCCUUAAAGACUUUUAGUAUCUGACUCUGUGCACUAUAGGUUUAGAAAUCGUGCCUCAUUCAAAACCCUGAAAGGAGAAUGUGAAAUAUCUGGGCUCCUGAUGGAUAUCUUGUCACAGGGCUCUGACUGAUACUGAAUUGUUGCACCUCUGGUACCACUCAGCCUACCUAAGCUGUUGACAGUUGGUUUGCUAGAUGCGUUUCUAUGUAUCUUCUGUCUGCAAAGUAAUUCUUAGUACUUCCUUUACACCCCCCCCCCCAAUCAGGAAAAGAUGCCUACUCUCACUAGUAAUUAUCAAGGUUAAACUGGAUGUAAAUUCCCCAAGGGCAGUGUUCAGACACCAAAGAAAGUUAAUGAAAUACAAUAAAAUAAUAAUUUACUGAGUCAGAAACUGUUGUUAGGAUAAAAAAAAUACAAAGAGGAAUAGGAUAUUCUUUGCUGUAAAGAAAUCAUAGAUAUGGUGGAAAUAGAACAGAUCUUUGCAAUACAGUGUGGUGAGUGAGGUGAUGGAGAUACUGCCAUGCCUGUUAGCACAGAGGAGAGGAUCUAGGCCAGCCAGAGGGGAGUGAGCAAAUACUACGUUUUGUCAGGGUGGCCUCCAGUCAGCAGCGAUCUUGAACCAAGUUUGAACACUUAGGAAGAGUAUCCUGCUCUACACAAAUAUUAUUCGAUUUCUUGUUUUAGACAUAUAUCAUUGUGAUGCAAAACUAAUCCUUAUUUCUCCUCCCUGUUAAAAUGAUCAGCCUCCAACUGUAAAGCUGAGAGACAAAAUUGCCUUUUUGUCUAUAGUCUGAGGAUGACCCAAACAAUAACCUGUAUAUAAGCUUUGGGACAAAAGUCUGGCCAAUAACCCUUAACAUGUAAGGUGGGUGGAAUCAGCCUCUGUUAGGAAAGGUCUGAGAGAAGAAGUAGAGGACUCUGGGAGAAUCAGGAUUCUGCCCAAUUCUCUUUGUAAGAGCAGCUUACAAAUUCAGGUAGGGGACUGGCCCAGGAAUGGCCAGGGUUGUUGGACAAGAGAGUAGAUUGGCCAUAAGUAGAGCCUGGAGUAGAGGUUCAUUCCAGUAGUGCCUUCUGGAGAGAACCCUCCCAGAAUGGAAGCUGGCCCAUCUACACCUGAAUUGCUGACCAUUUCUCUUCUAUGAGAACUCAGAAUCACCUGCAUGCAAUGCAGUCUCUGCCUCAGAGAUGUCAUCAGCAAUUCUGAAGUCAACACAAUGGAUCUAAUGCAGUGCUUCACAGGAUCUCUGGUUAGACUCACCUGAGAAAUACUGGUGGACAUGCUGAGACUUUAGAAAAACCCCUAAUCACCUAAAAUGUUUCAGGUUACUCACUGCAUGAUAUUGAGAAAGUCAUGCUGUCUCUUCCACAAAAUGAGAGAUGGACCAGAUAAAUCCCAAAGCCCUUUCCAUCUUUGACUUUUCUGGCAAAAUAUUAUAAACCAACGCUGCAAAGAGAACAUAAAAUUUAUGACAAUAUUUUCAUAGAUGCUCAUAAAAUACACAAUCAGGUGCAAAAUGAAUAAGAUAUCAACAGUUUACUCAAGGAAGGAACAGUGUCACAGAGCAGAUAAGUAUGCAUGAUGCCAUAAUGGAUGCUGGUAAGUAAAUAUGCUACGAGAGAGUUAUAGAUAAAGUGAUGUGGCUGUCAAAAGAAGAGAGUAAUUACCUUCAGUGAAAAGACAGUAGUGAAACAGAUGUCUUUAGGAGAUACUCCACUGGCUUGUGCAUUUCACAGAAACUUUUAUAGCUUUUAGCCCCGUUUGCAGGGACUCAAUCAAAAGAUCUGGAGAAGGCUGGGUAGGUGCUGGAGGCCUGACCCAUGAGGUAGGGUUCUGCUGGAGUGAAACUCAUCAGAUCAGUCAGUGGUCAACUUCUGGCCCCUGGCUUCAUAGGGGAAGCAGAGUGUGCAGCAAGAUCAGUGCACUGAGAUUAGAAUGUCUGGGCUCCACUCUCAGCACAUGAUACUGCUUAAUUGGAUGACCUUUGACAAACAGAGACAUUCAUCCUUCGUUGCUUCAUCUGAAGGGUCAUUGGCAAUGCCUGGUUAACCUUCCUUGUGAAGAUCAAUAAGCAUGAUGGUAGUAAUUAACGCUAUACCUAAUGGUCACUAAGUGCUUGCUAUGGUCUAUGCAACCGUCCAAAAUACAUAGAUGCAUUAAUUCAUUUAGUUUUCACAGUUACCCCGUGAAGUAGUUACUCUUGUGUGUCAUUUUUACGUAAUAAACAACACUAGAGGAUCAGGAACCAUCCCAAGGUAAUGCAGCAGGAAGCAGCUGAGAAGGUAUCAAAUCCAGGCACUUUGGCUGCUGAGCCCAUGCUCUCUGAUCACUAUGCCCUGUUGCUUCUUUUCUCGUGCAACAGCACUUUGUAGACUGUAACACAGCAUUUAACGUGAGCAGUAAUGUUGCUCCAAUGAUGUUUUCCAAUUGGUCCAGUCUAAAGGUAUAAAGAGGCAAUAACAAUUACAUAGGAAAAUGUACCAGGACAUAAACCUUAUAAAUUGGAACCAGUCCUCUUAUAGUAGCCUCUGGGUGGGUAGUAGAUCUGCUUAGGAAAUAAAACUGUAAGUGAUAUAGUUUAUAGAACUCUUUAGUACUUAAAAGAAACUUAAAAGUGAUUCUCUAGAUGAGACUUUUCACUGUUCUUUUAAAUAUGUGCUCUGGAAGUUUAAGUGACUGGAUGAAGGCCACACAAAUGGCAAAGCAGAGAACUGAAAACUAGUGAUUAUAGAGCUGAGAAUUAAAAGAGGGUGAUGUUCUUAAAAGCUAAUGCUAUAAAGUUUGGUGAUUGAUGAAUUGACCUUCUGUCAAG
ensembl:lncRNA